rnacentral:rRNA from 1 species
CGUAGAGAGUUGAGUCCUGGCUCAGGACAACGCUGGCGGCGUGCUUAACACAUGCAAGUCGAACGGUGAAGCUCCAGCUUGCUGGAGUGGAUCAGUGGCGAACGGGUGAGUAACACGUGAGCAACCUGCCCCAGACUCUGGAAUAAGCGCUGGAAACGGCGUCUAAUACUGGAUACGAGAUCAAGCCGCAUGGUUAUGGUCUGGAAAGUUUUCGGUUUGGGAUGGGCUCGCGGCCUAUCAGCUUGUUGGUGAGGUAAUGGCUCACCAAGGCGACGACGGGUAGCCGGCCUGAGAGGGCGGCCGGCCACACUGGGACUGAGACACGGCCCAGACUCCUACGGGAGGCAGCAGUGGGGAAUAUUGCACAAUGGGCGAAAGCCUGAUGCAGCGACGCCGCGUGAGGGAUGACGGCCUUCGGGUUGUAAACCUCUUUCAGCAGGGAAGAAGCGAAAGUGACGGUACCUGCAGAAGAAGCACCGGCUAACUACGUG